rnacentral:lncRNA from 1 species
AGAUAUAUUUAAAAACAUAGUUAACAUAGGUAAAUACUUAACCCUAGUUAGUUAAUGAGAUGAAUUGACCUUACAAACACGAUAAAUUACAAAUAUAUCUCAACAAAGUUCAACUUUUAUAUAUUAUUCUGCAAAAGUUCUGAUAUUUUCAAAUAUAUUCCUGCCAUUAAAAUUCGUUAGAAAAAAUUAGUUAACCAUAGGUAAAUACUUAACCCUAGUUAGUUAAUGAGAUGAAUUGACCUUUUUUUAGUUAACCAUAGGUAAAUA